rnacentral:lncRNA from 10 species
GAUGCAAUGUGAGAUGGUUUCUGUCUUCCCAACCAGGUGAUUUAGCACCUGGGCCUGCAUGUUGCUAUAGCUGCAAUGUUUAGACAUGGGUUUGCAAAUUUCUUCAGCAGCUGCUCUACAAAUAUGCAAUGGACCCUUUAAGCAUUUCUCCUUUACAGUGAGCACAAUGCUAAGCUUUGUCAGCAGAUGCCACUGGAGCAGCAUUGCAGAAGAAAGCGAGUUUCUCUUCCUGAUUUUGGUGUGCUACUUUUCUUCUUCUUGCUCCAGCUGCAUUAUCCAUCAGUGGUACUAUGUAUAAGACCAUCCCGCUGUGCCCUGCCCUACCACCUGCCCAGAGGCACAUCCCUCACUGACUAUUUGGCCUGAUUCUGAGCCUGUGGCCACCUUCUCACAGCCCUGCAACACAGGCACUGUGUGCUCCAGGCCUCACGUCCCCAGCAGUGGCCUGACUGUGCACUUAGCCACAGCCUCAGUUUGCCUGUGCUCCAAGAAAUUGCAUCCUAUUUGCCCAGCAGCUAUGGACCAGCUCCUGGUCCUGGAAAACAGCAGGCUUCUCUGACAUCUAGUGGACUGCAAACACACCUUCUCCAACAAGGCCUGACCCCAGCCUUAAGGAGAGAACCGUCUUUCCGAGUUGUCUUUCCUUGGGUACUCUCCCUCAAUCCUCGGAUACCCUUGAAAGUUCUCUUUACAUUGUUAUAGUUAUUCUUCUAUCACUGUCGAAUAAUUUUUUAUAUUAAACUUCUCUUGCUUUACAUUACUAUGUGGUUUCUGUCUCUUGCUUGAACUCAGACUGAUAGAAGUUCAUUUGGAAAAACAGCAACACUUAUGUGUACGAGAUAUUCAAUCUACAGAUAACAUUUGGUAUAAGAAAGCAUUCUCAAAUCCCUUGCUACUGAU